rnacentral:rRNA from 1 species
UACGUAGGGUGCAAGCGUUAAUCGGAAUUACUGGGCGUAAAGCGUGCGCAGGCGGUUUUGUAAGACUGUCGUGAAAUUCCCGGGCUUAACCUGGGAAUGGCGAUGGUGACUGCAAGGCUAGAGUUUGGCAGAGGGGGGUAGAAUUCCACGUGUAGCAGUGAAAUGCGUAGAUAUGUGGAGGAACACCGAUGGCGAAGGCAGCCCCCUGGGUCAAAACUGACGCUCAUGCACGAAAGCGUGGGGAGCAAACAGG